ensembl:lncRNA
UCUGCCGUCUUGUACACAUCAGAGUAGAGCCCCGCCUUUUGGAACUUCUUCUUUGGAGGCCUGGCUGCUCUCUUUUCCCGUUGGCUGGUUAUAGGCAUGGGUGGAGCUUGUUCCAUGGAGACGAUGCCCGGACAUUCCGGGGAGGAGGGGCCAUCUGGUUUCCCCUCCAGAGCACUGAAAUAGAACAAAGAGUCAGUUUAUAGUGAUGACUGGCUUGAUAGUCUCUCGCUAUAUAUAUAUAUAUAUAUACACACACAGCUGCUAAAAUCUAAGAUUAGCGCUGCCUAUGGAAGUAAACUGCAACAUAAUCACGGUUCUCCACUCUCAUCGUUGAGGCUACAAUCACGUGUUGGCCUGUAGUGGUGGUGGUUUUACCUGCGAAAGCGGUGCAGCUCCUCUUGGGUGAGCCAACCACUUCCUCCCUCAGCACUGGCCCUGAUCCCCAAGCCACCCAGGUUCUCCUCCCUGUCCAGAGCUCGUUCCUCCACCUCCCCCCCUUCCUCCUCCUCCUCCUCCCUUUCUCUCUCCCAGUGCUUCCUCUUCUGGCCUUUCCUGAACUGGCCCUGGACCACCGACUCGAUCGCGUCCGUCACAGUGUCCCCCUUCCACGCUCCUCCUCCACGUUCCCGGUGCCUGGUCUGGGUCACUUCGGCCAGAGGGGGCGGCGACGGGGGCGGGGAAGGCAAGGGAUGCUUCCUGGGGCGCCCGGGGCCUCUCUUCUUGACCAUGUUGUUACCUGUCCUCGCCUGUCUCUGAAGCUUCUUUGCACGGAGGAUCUUGUUGACGUGGUGCAGGCUGUGUUUAGAGGGCUGGGCCCGGUGGGAGUGGUGUGGCGGUGAGGCCUCAUCGUCCAGGCAGCAGUCCUGGGACGGCGAGUUGUGGCCACAGUGAGAGAGGCAGGCGGAGGAGGAAGAGUGGAACAGAGGAGGGUGGUGGUGGUGCUGCCUGAGGUGGUCCUCAGGGGUAGAGUGGUCGGCUCGGGUCGGGACACUAGAUGUACAGCC